AAAAAUAUGUAAAAUUGCAACUGCUUUGUAAUUAAAUGCAGUUGAAGGUCAUUAUAUAUUUAGGGUAUUUUAGAGGUCAACUGGUAAUUCUACAGACACAAAUGUAAUUUAUUUUGACAUUUAUUUUUGUUCUCACCUAAACAACAUACAACUUUGCAUUUUGACAACUUAAAUAUAGUAAACUGUAGUAAAACUGCUAGAUCCUAUUACGUUUUUGAAACUUUGCCUAACAUAUUAAAUAUUAAAAUAAAGUAUUUACGUGUGCAACGGUUAUCGAUUCACUAAUACAACAUACAGUAUUUUAACAAUUUGUAAUAAUUUCUGUAAUAUAUUACAGUACGGCAGUAUUUGUAAUUUAAACAACAAUAUUGUAAAUAAUCUGCAAUCAAAUUUAUAACUCUCCUUUUGGGCAUAUAUAUUUUAGUUGUGUAAGACUCCCAUCAUCCAAUCAGAGGCUGCAAAUUUAAAUUUGGCGCACUUGCGUCCUAACGGCUGUGAGUGGCGGUACUAGUGCGAGCAGCAGAGCCAGAGCGGGAGUUUUCAAACUCCAGUGGAUUCCUAUGGUAGCCAGGCAGGCACCGCGGGAAACAUCUCUGAGAACAGCCGUGAGCAGUAGCGUGCGAGUGAGUGACAGUGAAGAAAUUUCUUCCGCUCCGAUGGAAAUAUAUGACAUGUAGGCUACAUAUAAAGCGCCAAUACUUUUGAAACUGUGAGGAAAACAACGCGCCUUUAGCGCCUGCUUCACUAUAGUCGUCGUCACCAUGUCAGUCAGAGCAACCGACCGCCGGAUGAGGUUCUAGGGAUCUAAUGCUUGUGAUAAUCUACAGCAGAUGACCAUGACAAUCCAGGUUCUGUGGAUCGACUGCUUGUGCUAAUCUACCGCAGGUGACCAUAACAAUCCAGCAGAUAACUUCAGGAUUUAUAGAAGGCAUAUAAUGACAGUGAGCGGGACCAAAACUCUUGACAAUCUAAGUCACCUAUAGGUAGCAUAAGUAAUCUAUAUGACUCAAGUUGCUCAAAUAAUGUCUAGAUGUGUAACAAAUACCUUGCAUGUACAGAGCUAUGUUCUGAAUCUGAUAUACUCCGCUUGUAUUCCCACUGUCAGAUGAACAUUUUAAAAAAUAAAUAUUUUUGCAUUUCCCCAGAAUGUCUUUUUCUGUUUCAUUGAAGGUACAAAAUAAAGUACUGUUUUUUAAUAUUGCGUAUUUAUUUUACAUGUAAAGAAUUUAACAGGAAAUUAUUGUAGGCCUGUGACCUGAUAGAUUCAAAUAACUGCUAAUUACUUUUAAUUAACAGUAUUGUAGGUUUUAAAUGUAGCUACUUUUGGUGUAUUUUAAUAAUAUAUAUCUUUAUUAUAACUGGUAAAUGUACAGACAUUUGGUUUUUAUUAGUAGUUUCUUAGUUAUUAUACAUUUAAAAUGUUUUUUAAAAGUAAAUUCCUUUGUAGAUUGACAGAGAAGCUUAAUAAAAUUACUUAAAAAUUCCUAAAUUUACAGAGAUUACCCUGAAAAGAAGUUGCUUUUUAAUGUAUUUUGAUAUAAUUUAUCUGUUUUUACACAGUUUAAUGAGCAAUUAUCAACAGUGCUAUACUGUAAUUUAACCAAUUUUGACCGUAAAAUUGGCUCUGUAUUUUUACAGUUCAUUUCAUGUAAUUUUGUGAAACAGU